ensembl:snRNA U6atac minor spliceosomal RNA
GUGUUGUAUGAAAGAAGAGCAGAUUAGCAGUCACCUUGACAAUGAUGGAAGAGGUCUUAGUGGCCUUCAAAACACAUAUGGUUAAUGCGGUAUUUUAUACCAAGAGCAAAUCAUUUAGAAUUUUGU